rnacentral:lncRNA from 1 species
UGGGGGUAAUUGCCUCAAAAGUUCAGGAAUUAGCGGCCAAAAACAAGCAUUGUUGUGCCCAGACAAUUACUUAAAGUCAAGUGUAUAGAUCUUUUUGAAAUUGUACAGUAAGUAACCAUACCACAAAGGGGAAUUUGGGAUUGAGUCUGUGGGUAAUUCCUGAAGAGGAGGUAAAAGUGGGGAAGGGGGGGGUUAUUUUUUUCAUAUUUGUUUUCUUAAAUUUUUCUAUUUUUCUAUUGAUUUAUAUUUCGUUUUUGUAUAUUAAAGCAUACAAUACUGAUAUAUAUCAGAAGAUACACACCGAAUUGCGCAAUAGCAAGACAUCUUCGUUUUCAGACUAUCGUGUAAUAUUGGACCAGGAAGAAAUCUUCGAUUGCAC